UACGAAGGGGGCUAGCGUUGUUCGGAAUCACUGGGCGUAAAGCGCACGUAGGCGGAUUGUUAAGUCGGGGGUGAAAUCCUGAGGCUCAACCUCAGAACUGCCUUCGAUACUGGCAAUCUCGAGUCCGGAAGAGGUUGGUGGAACAGCUAGUGUAGAGGUGAAAUUCGUAGAUACUAGCUAGAACACCAGUGGCGAAGGCGGCCAACUGGUCCGGUACUGACGCUGAGGUGCGAAAGCGUGGGGAGCAAACAGG
rnacentral:rRNA from 1 species